UUGAGGAUCUGAAAUGGAAGAACUGACGCCGACGGUCAGUGAAGAGGAGGAGGAAGAGUUGGCAAAGGGAGCCAUGCUCUGGUCCAUCCAGGAGGCUUUAGAGAAGCAGACCUUGCAGAUUGGUGCAUCUGCCUGUGGAGCCACCGCUGUGGUGGACGUGCUGAAGGCUCUCACAGUGGACGUGGCCCCCGAGGAAGCCGACCGUUGUGUUAAAACCUGUCUAAGGAGGAACGAGGCACCGCUGCCUGACUACCUGCUGUCCCGGAGUGAAGCUGGUGCAACUCACGCUCAGCUUAUCCAGGGCGCAGAGGAGGCGAGUCGGGGGAAAGUGUCAGGCCGCUUCUUUCACCUUUACCCUCGGCGAAGGGUCAAGCUGGUCACCUGGCUCGCACGCUGGAUCCGUAAAGGUGCUGUUCCCGUGGCAACCAUGAACAUGCAGCUGGCUGUGCCUGCUGGGGAGGAGGUGCCAGAUGCUUGGCACCAUCAACUGAUCUUUGGUGUGGCGCCAAAUGCAGUUUUCAUGACAAAUCCUCUGGAUGUUGUGAGUGAGGACAUCUUGCACCAGAGACUCUGCAGCGAGUCGGUGCUCCUGAUCCGGCGAGAAGAUGUCCUGCAGCGCCUCACACCUGCCUGCUGCCUGGCCAACCUAUCUGAACCGCGAUGGGAAGCGCUGGAUGUCCAAGGUCAGGUGAGAAUGAUGUGCCAAGAAGAAGAGGAGGAUGGGUCCAAGUCAGCACACAUCAGGAUCCCUGCAGCGUACAGUUCAGGCAUCACACUUUUCGCUCUGCAACAGUCGGCGCUGGGUCAGGAGCUCAUCAGGGCUCCUGAGCUCCCUUUGUUGGGUUAGCAUUUAAUAUCAGUAUAAAUGGGACUAAGCUGAAGAAAAUGGUUGUCAGGUGUUUUUGACAAUACCAAUAUUCACAACUAAAUUUGACCAGGUUAUGCUUGGUGGUCUGCUUAGUGUGUGUAAAACAUUUUGGACUUUUUCAUGGUAUCUUUUUAGUAAACACGCAGUAUUUUGGGAUAUGUAAUGCAUAUUUCUCUGUAUUUUGCAUUAAUAAGGGAUAAAACAUCACAUUCAUAUAAGGUUAAUAAACAUCACAUUUUUUUAUAUUUUGACAAAAAUAUUGAGCCCUGUUGAUGAACAUACAAUUAUGAGUAAAACUUUUGAAGUCACUGUUUAAGAUCGCUGUUUGAUAUUUUAUUUUAAGUACAUUUUAACCGUUAAAAUUACAAAAACGAACGGCGAAUAGCAUUACACAAAACAUUCAACAUGUCACAUGAGUUUUAGUAAGCUAAAUCAAUUACUGAAUGAUUAACUACAAUUCCCAUGAUUCAUUUGGCCGUUGCGGCCAAAGGAAGUUAAGAAACUUUCCCAAAAAAAAGCAAAACUCGGCAGCAGGAUUUGGAGGGUAAGAGGUAGACCUGUGAAUUCAUUAAACACAAAAUGGGGCGACUCCGAGUUUGUUUUAGCGCCCCCAGUUCGGCUUCGCGGUGAUAAUUAGAUCCACGUGGUUUGUAUGUGCGUGUGUAAACGUGAGUGUUGCAUUCUGCAGGCAGAGGAGACUGAUCGGGGCUCCGGCUGGAUCCAGCUUCUUUCUUUGAAUCUGCGGCUAGAGGUGAGUCUUGAAAACGACUAAUGCAAAAUAUGUCGGUGCUAAAGCUGAUUGAGCCAAAAAUAAACACUUUAGCAAUGUUACGAUAUGCACUUUGAAAAGGAGCCUUACUCGUAUUUGUUUGAGAUGUUUUUGUGGAUGACGCUAGCCAUACUGACUAAAAAAAACCAAAAACCUACUGUAUUAUUGCGCUUUGACCUUAAACUGUUACUUAGAAGUUUUCUGGUCUUUUGAUAUUAACUUUUGUUAAAAAUGCAGUAUUAGGGGCUCGUGAAUUAGGGUAAAAUGGCUGCCCACUUAAAGCCCAUCUAAAGGCAAGUGAUGUUCUCUCCUGACAUGAGUCACAUGAGUGGAGUGAUUCCACUUAAAGUCGAUGAAGACAAUCAUAGAGGUCGAGACUCGGCCUUUUCUGCUGUCCUGAGACAGUCGGUGCAGCUUUUAGCCACUUUAAUCUGCACCCACUGGCCUGUGGGGGAGUUGCAUCAUCAAGAUUAGGAUGAUCUGACCUAUGAUCCUGAUUUGUUUGAGGUCUUUUUUUUGUUUUGUGCUCAUUUCUUGGAACAAAAUGUUUGAGCUAAGAAUUUAAAGUCAAGUCCCUAUUUACUAACAUAAAAAUCAAUUAGAAUAUUGCCUUCCUGAGAUUACAAUCAGACUGUGACACUCCUGUCUCAUUGGAGUUAAUCAACACGACGUCUCAAAGGAAAAGCUCUGCAAGGAAGCACAACAUUCAUCAGCCAGGAAAAAUGAUCUGUUUGGUCCCGGGGGCUCCAGAGUUGGAUGUCCAAAGACCAUUUCUGUUCUGCUCCAAUACAUCUGUCCUCCACUGACAUUGCAAAAUAAUUUGCAGCCUAUAAAGGUCAGCGCUUGUUCACAGCUCAGGACGCCACUUUCGCUAUAGGUCAAUACGUACACGCAAUUAAACGGGUGUUUUAUGAGCCAAGCGAAGGCCAUUGUCAAAGUCGACUCAUU
ensembl:lncRNA